rnacentral:rRNA from 1 species
ACCUGACUGCUAUCGGAUUGGUACUAAGCCAUGUGAGUCAUUGUAGCAAUACAAGGCAUACGGCUCAGUAACACGUAGUCAAUCUGCCCUAUGGACGUGGAUAACCUCGGGAAACUGAGAAUAAUCCGCGAUAGAUCAUAAUGCCUGGAACGGUUUAUGGUCCAAAUGAUUCGUCGCCAUAGGAUGGGACUGCGGCCUAUCAGCUUGUUGGUGAGGUAAUGGCCCACCAAGGCUAUUACAGGUACGGGCUCUGAGAGGAGAAGCCCGGAGAUGGGUACUGAGACACGGACCCAGGCCCUAUGGGGCGCAGCAGGCGAGAAACCUUUGCAAUGUGCGCAAGCACGACAAGGUUAAUCCGAGUGUUUCCUGCUAAAGGAAUCUUUUGUUAGUUCUAAAACCACUGAUGAAUAAGGGGUGGGCAAGUUCUGGUGUCAGCCGCCGCGGUAAAACCAGCACCUCAAGUGGCCAGGAGGAUUAUUGGGCCUAAAGCAUCCGUAGCCGGUUCUGUAAGUUUCCGGUUAAAUCCACUAGCUCAACUAAUGGGCUGCCGGAAAUACUGCAGAACUAGGGAGUGGGAGAGGUAGACGGUACUCGGGAGGAAGGGGUAAAAUCCUUUGAUCUCUUGAUGACCACCUGUGGCGAAGGCGGUCUACCAGAACACGUUCGACGGUGAGGGAUGAAAGCUGGGGGAGCAAACCGGAUUAGAUACCCGGGUAGUCCCAGCUGUAAACGAUGCAGACUCGGUGAUGCACUGGCUUUUGGCCAGUGCAGUGCCGCAGGGAAGCCGUUAAGUUUGCCGCCUGGGAAGUACGUACGCAAGUAUGAAACUUAAAGGAAUUGGCGGGGGAGCACCACAAGGGGUGAAGCCUGCGGUUCAAUUGGAUUCAACGCC